UAACUUUAAAAAAAAAUAGAGUCAUGUGGGCCACACCAUUUGGAAAUCUAAGGCUGGUGAAUUGUUGCAGACUGUUAGACAGCCUGGGCUACACAGUGAGUUCCAAGGCAGCAAGGAUGAAAGAGAAAAAGAAGAAAGCAUUUGAACCUCCUAAGUGUUUUGGAGUACAGCUAUAGUUUGCAGUGAUGGAUGAACUCAAAUAUUCAAGACUCUGUCAGACCGAGAUGAGUAUUUUAGGAACGUUUAUUAUUUGAAGUUUUAUGUUCUAAAAGCAAUGUUCUUAAGGAGCAACUGAAAACAGAUGGGAGAAAAUACCCAACAGAAACAGGCAUCCCAAGAAAGAGUGGCACUUGAGAGUCUUCGCUAGAGGCAUCUACAUGAUUUGGAGGCUCCUGAAGGUACAGCUCAAAAAGUUGCUGAGGAAAUAGCACCAUAAUUACUGUGUUGGACUGGCUAAGAUUACAACUGACAAGGUGACCUUUGAUUGGAAUCAUAACAAACUAGAAGAAGGUGUUAGAGAGGGGAGCAAAGUCGUGUGCAAGAGGAACUGAGGAGUAGAAGAUCAUGGUGACCUUGAAGAAACCCAGACAAUCUGGUGUGAUCAGAAUAGAGUUCAUUUGAAUAAAGAAAUGGAGUUGAGGCUGGAAAA